UGGGGAAUAUUGGGCAAUGGGCGAAAGCCUGAUCCAGCAAUGCCGCGUGAGUGAUGAAGGCCUUAGGGUUGUAAAGCUCUUUUACCAGGGAUGAUAAUGACAGUACCUGGAGAAUAAGCUCCGGCUAACUCCGUGCCAGCAGCCGCGGUAAUACGGAGGGAGCUAGCGUUGUUCGGAAUUACUGGGCGUAAAGCGCGCGUAGGCGGCCAUUCAAGUCAGGGGUGAAAUCCCGGGGCUCAACCCCGGAACUGCCCUUGAAACUAGGUGGCUAGAAUACUGGAGAGGUGAGUGGAAUUCCGAGUGUAGAGGUGAAAUUCGUAGAUAUUCGGAAGAACACCAGUGGCGAAGGCGACUCACUGGACAGUUAUUGACGCUGAGGUGCGAAAGCGUGGGGAGCAAACAGGA
rnacentral:rRNA from 1 species